rnacentral:rRNA from 1 species
AUGGAAUUGAGCCCGUGCGAGAAGUUUCAGCUCUCUGAUUUGUCCGAUUCGGACGACUCAGAUGUUGAGAUGAUGCUCUCAAACUUUCGACAGCAGACAUUGGUGAUGGCUCUUGCCGUCAAGGAGCACGAAGACGAGAACCGAAAGAGGCGGCGAAGAUCGACCGUCGGGCGUCUUUGUAUUCCUCGGAAUCGCCAUCUCGGGAACGAGAUGUUGAUGCAAGACUAUUUCAUGGAGAAUCCAACGUGUCCACUGCACCUCUUCCGGCGAAGGUACCGAAUGCGUCGAUCCCUCUUUGUGAAAAUUGUUCAAGCUUGCGAGGCAAAUUGUCGGUAUUUUACUCAAUGA